CAGAGAAUAGUUUAGUAUAAAAUACCAGCUUUGGGAGUUGGAGAUAGAGGUUAAGUCCUCUUUUUCUGA
rnacentral:tRNA from 1 species